CAUUUCCUCUUUGCUACGGUGUCCCUCCUCUAGACCAACUUAGUUGUGAGAAAGUCUGUAUCUUUAGAGGAGAUAGCAAUAUGACUGUAUAAUUUAUUGAUAUUCUCCUAAUUAGUGAUUAACUGACGGUUCUGAACAGGAUUGGGCUAAAUGCUCAAAUAAAAACCUGAGGUGAAGAACUAUCUUUCCCUGCAGUAGAAGUCCAUGUGAGAGGAGAGAGCUGUAUGAUACUAGGAGGACAAGACACCAAUAAUCUCAAGGGACUCACUAGCAGUUGGGUUUUCUCCUCUCCAGAGCACCAACUGAAACAGACAGAAUGAACAGAGCACGAGGACUGUGUUUCACUUUAUUACUACUACUGGGGUGUGUACAUGGGAGCAAACCUCCUCAAAGGGAAGUGGUAUUCAGUAGAGGGAUCCAACUCUUUGUUGAAGCCGCAACCCUGGUGCCUCACCUACACUGGUGUGUGUACUCAGUGGUUUAAAAACACAUCAUUUGGUGGACAUCAUUUGGUGGAUCAACGACACAGUGGUAACCCCUCAGAACAAUGCCAUUUGGAGUUCCAGGGGAAACGAUGGCACGUACACAACUACCGGACUGUGGACUUUGUCUGAAAAGGACUGGAAUCCCUAUAGUAACUAUGGGUGUGGAACAAGACAUGAAGGAAAGCAUUAUAGAAAUGGUAC